CAGCAAGUACAUGAAAGGGCAUUCUAAAUGCCAUACCAUCACAUGCAAAGCCUGGCACCCAGCUCAGCUUGGGCACAUCCUGUGAGCCCAAGUCUGGGAGAUAUAAAGAGGCGAAGGUUGGAAAGUCUUCUGAUAAUGUCCCUGGAGCACACCACAGGGAUCGAACUCAGGACCUUGCACUUGCCAGGCAGGUGCAGUGCUACUGAGCUACAUCCCUAUAGCCCCGGCACCGAACUGAAUUUUAAAGCAUAGGAGUUGAGUAGCUAAAGAAGAAAGGGAAAGGCAUUUCAGGAAAGAGAGAACCAAAUGGCCAGAGGCACAGAAGAAUGAAGUGCAAGGCAGGAGAGGAGCAGCUCUCUCAGUGCCUUAUCUCUGCAGUAAACAAGAGCACUGAAGGCAGUGAUGAUGAAGAUGCAGAAAGGGCCACAUGCCAGAG
rnacentral:lncRNA from 1 species